GGGAUACUUCAAGGAGGGCUUCAAAAUUGGAUGAAGAGGGAAUGGAGGUUGCUGUGUGUUGCCAUGGGUUCCUUUUAAAAGCCCUUAAUAUGUACAGGGGGAGAUAUUUGCCUACCCUCUGUACCUUCAGGAGGAGCUCAUGCCAGCAAAGGCACAAUUCUUCACAAUGGAUGUGGCUUGCAAAUACUAAGCCAUACCUGGAGAAAGUUGCUAGUGUCCUUCCUGCUCUUCCGGAGCAGACCACUAUGAAACCCUUUCUCAGUGUAAUGUAUGCUCGAGCCCAUGCUACUAAGUAUUAAAUGGAGUGGCAGGAACCGGGAAGGAGCAGGGACAACCGCUGAUGAGGAGGUGGAGCAAGUGAACAGUUACCUCUCACGUUGUGCCCUGAUGACCAAAUAUUUGUCCAAAGCAGCACGGGUGGACAUGAUUACAUUACAUGCAACAGGGUGGAACGAAAAAAUAAAUAAAAAAUCAGGCACUUUUUACAAGAUAUGUUAAGACUUGUCGGGGACUCCAUGAUGAGACUGCAAGGCUGGCUGACCUAAAACAGAGCUAGAUUGUACCAGAUGAAGUGGUGUCACAGUGGCUGUCUGAUGUAAAGGAAUGGGCAGCAGGUGGUAAGCACGACCAGAUUACAGAAACAACAAACAUCCUUUUCUACCAUUCAUUAUGUUUGAUAUUAAAGAUCAGCAAAAAAUAGUAGGCGGAUCAUCAUCUAAUGUGAUGCCACAUUUAUGUCAGGUUUAUUAGUAUAUUCCAGUUUUCUGUAAUAUACAGGAAGUGCACAUGCAGAGUAUAAAUAAGUAAAAAAAAAAGGUUUUACAUAAAAUUCAAAUAGAGAAAUGUAUUCUGUGUUGUUUUAACAUUGAAUUUCUUUUAGCUAUUUAUUCUACAGAGACACCUGAUACAUCUCGUGCCAGUCAAGGCACAACACAUAGAGGAAUUCAGCAAUCAAUUGAGAGGCUCUACCUAACUGUGAGGCACCGGAAGUGAACCUUCUACCGCCAGAAUGUUAUAACUAUAUAAUAUAAUAGGAUAAAUUCAAGCUACUGUAUGCAUCCUAUUCCAACAACAUGGAAUUAGCAAAUAAUGUAGUAGCACAGUUCAGCUUAAUCAUUGAAUUCUGUUCUUUAGAUUACCAGUCUGUAGGAUUUUCAUGUCUUUCUAGACAGCAGCAAGUUUGCCUUCGAAGGAAGCUGGCAGAAGACAAAAAACUCCUCCUUCAGGAGAUACAAAAAUACAGUGAUCUCAUACUAGAAUCAGCAACAACCAUUGACGUAGCUGUGGUGGAGCAUUCCUUUACCGGAAAGACAAACAUAUCAAUCAAGAAACAAGUGCACGACCAAGUGAUGUUAACAAGGCGACUGCAUGAGGAAACAAGAGUUUUGGUUUUGGAGUAGCACACAACACUGCACAUGGUUGCAGAGCCUGGCAAUGGUUUUCAAGAACAAGUUGGCUGAGGUGGACAUAGACCAGUGAAAUGAGGGACUUUGCUGUCUUUUAAGAAGAAAACUGUCAGAGGUGUCAGAAAGGUUCCAAGCGGUCCUCCAACAGUACAAGACUGCAUUAGGUCCUGAUGCAUCUGUCCUUCUACAUGAUGAAGAGGAAGAUCAAAGUGGCUUCAGUAGUCCAGACAUCAGUGAGGAUGAAGAGGAACACACAAUUUAGAUGGAAGCUGCACGAAGGACUGUGUUGAAGGAAAUAGACUUGCCCUAUAUCUGUGUAUUAAACGAAUGCUAACUAAUUAACCACAUCAAAAUCUUGUGUCAAAUUCAAACUGGGUCUUUAGAUUAUUAAGCAAUUUAGUAAGCACAUUACACAGUUCCUUGAAAAUGCACAAACCUCUCAGUAUAGAUGCACCAAAUACUGCAAAAAUUUUGCAAAUACUGCAGUCGAGGCGGUUUGGCUGGGUGUUUUGUUACCAAAGGGUAAACCGAUUUUGGUUGGAAUUUGCUACCGUCCUUCUGAUCAAAGUGACUUUUAUGAGAACCUUGAAGAGACUUUAAAUGUGUCAAAUUAUGUUAUAGGACAAGAGUUGAUAAUUUUACAGAUAAACUAUUAAACAGUUUAAACUCUGUUUAACAUCAUACUGCAUUAUUAAUGCAUGUCUUUUUACUUAAUUUCAAACAAUCAGUAUGGUUGUAGGGUUGAUGGGUGGACAUUUUGGUAUGUA